rnacentral:rRNA from 1 species
GAUGAACGCUGGCGGCGUGCCUAAUACAUGCAAGUCGAGCGAACAGACGAGGAGCUUGCUCCUUUGACGUUAGCGGCGGACGGGUGAGUAACACGUGGAUAACCUACCUAUAAGACUGGGAUAACUUCGGGAAACCGGAGCUAAUACCGGAUAACAUGUUGAACCGCAUGGUUCAACAGUGAAAGACGGUCUUGCUGUCACUUAUAGAUGGAUCCGCGCCGCAUUAGCUAGUUGGUAAGGUAACGGCUUACCAAGGCAACGAUGCGUAGCCGACCUGAGAGGGUGAUCGGCCACACUGGAACUGAGACACGGUCCAGACUCCUACGGGAGGCAGCAGUAGGGAAUAUUCCGCAAUGGGCGAAAGCCUGACGGAGCAACGCCGCGUGAGUGAAGAAGGUCUUCGGAUCGUAAAACUCUGUUAUUAGGGAAGAACAAAUGUGUAAGUAACUAUGCACGUCUUGACGGUACCUAAUCAGAAAGCCACGGCUAACUACGUG